UACUGCUUCAAUAUUUCCAGAGAUAUCGUUUAUUCGGUAUUUUCCACUUUUUAGUUGCAAACAAAUAUGAUGUCAUAACUGAUCUAACUUGCAUAAUAGAAAAAUGUCAAUCUCUCUAAAAUGAAAAAAAGAUAUUUCAAAAAGAAAAAUGCCAUUCUUCUGUAUUUUGAAAGGCCUUUCAAAUAAGCAGAAAUCAUUUUUCAUGUCAUAUACGCUUUAAAUAUGGAACUGUAAAAUGGGUUAGAACAUAAAUUCUGAUAAAUCUGCCCUUCAUCAACAGAGACUAGUGAACACUAUGCUGAUCAUUUCAUCUCAGGAACUGUUGGGCAAGCAACAGUGGAACCAUUUAAGAAUAAGAUAGUCGAUCACACUUCAGCUGAUCAAGAAGUGUUAUCUCCAACACUGUUGCACCCCCCUGAACCUGUAGAGAUGGGCAUCACUGAACAGCAAGAGCUGGGAUAUAUGCCGCUCAGAGAUGAUUUUGAAAAGGUGACCUCAUGUUAGUUCAUUAUAAGAUAGAUAGGAAGCCAUGCCUGCAAUAAAUUGUAGAGCUCAGUAUUCAUUUGGUAAUAAUUAU